UGUAUUAGGUUUAUCCAACUCGUUGAAUAGUUUAAUGGUAUAUUUCUCGGUAUUCUAGGCUCGGCCUUACAAUAUAACAAACAAGUUUGACCUCAAAUCAGGUAGGAUUACCCGCUGAACUUAAGCAUAUCAAUAAGCGGAGGAAAAGAAACCAACAGGGAUUGCCUUAGUAACGGCGAGUGAAGCGGCAAAAGCUCAAAUUUGAAAUCUGGCACCUUCGGUGUCCGAGUUGUAAUUUGAAGAAGGUAACUUUGGAGUUGGCUCUUGUCUAUGUUCCUUGGAACAGGACGUCACAGAGGGUGAGAAUCCCGUGCGAUGAGAUGCCCAAUUCUAUGUAAAGUGCUUUCGAAGAGUCGAGUUGUUUGGGAAUGCAGCUCUAAGUGGGUGGUAAAUUCCAUCUAAAGCUAAAUAUUGGCGAGAGACCGAUAGCGAACAAGUACAGUGAUGGAAAGAUGAAAAGAACUUUGAAAAGAGAGUGAAAAAGUACGUGAAAUUGUUGAAAGGGAAGGGCUUGAGAUCAGACUUGGUAUUUUGCGAUCCUUUCCUUCUUGGUUGGGUUCCUCGCAGCUUACUGGGCCAGCAUCGGUUUGGAUGGUAGGAUAAUGACUAAGGAAUGUGGCUCUACUUCGGUGGAGUGUUAUAGCCUUGGUUGAUACUGCCUGUCUAGACCGA
rnacentral:sRNA from 1 species